UAGGGAAUAUUAGAAAUGGACGCAAGUCUGAUCUAGCAACACCGCGUGUGCGAAGAAGGCCUUUGGGUCGUAAAGCACUUUUUGGAAGGAAUAGGAAGGAAUGUACUUCCAGAAUAAGCCUCGGCUAACUACGUGCCAGCAGCCGCGGUAACACGUAGGAGGCAAACGUUAUCCGGAUUUACUGGGCGUAAAGCGCGUGUAGGUGGUACUGUAAGUAGGGCGUGAAAGCUCCUGGCUCAACUAGGAGAGGCCGUUCUAAACUACAGAACUAGAGGAUGGUAGAGGGAGGUGGAAUUCCAGGUGUAGCGGUGGAAUGCGCAGAUAUCUGGAGGAACACCGGUGGCGAAGGCGGCCUCCUGGACCAUUCCUGACACUCAGACGCGAAAGCUAGGGUAGCAAACGG
rnacentral:rRNA from 1 species